UAUAUGCAUCUAUCUAUAUCUUUGGUGAAUAGCAGACUAUUUUUUGAGCAUUUUAACAGGUGGCAGUCAUACCUACUGCAUCUCCAAGUCGUUGCAGAAUCAAGCCCUGACGUGAUGCAGCUGGGGUUGGCUGCAAUAAAGCACUGGGUUGGUGGAGGAUAAAAGGGCUGAGCAGGACGGGGAGUAUGCUCCCAGUGAGGCUGUGUCCUUUGCUCCCCUGCACCUGGUGUAUAGGGAUGGAUUUAUGGAUCCCGUGAAAAAAUAGAAGGUAUUCUGUUCUGAGGGGUGUAUUGCAUGAAGCAGCAUUUGGUCAUUGACUCACAGCAGUUUCUAUUUCAAACUAGAAGGAAUCACUGGCUUUGUCGUGCAUAACACAGAGCAAAUGCCUUCUCACAGUGUGUUGUGAAGUAAAAGAAAUAGAAUUAUCAAAUUGUCUCCGUGUUUGCUGAGCUGAGAUGCAGCGCUUACCUAAUCCUACACUUGGUGCGACUCCUUCCUGUGGCUCCCACAGGCUCUCAAGGUCUGGUUGCUGGUCCUUAUUCUCCUGCUGUAUAGCACCGAUUAAAUCAUCGCAUCUUCUUGCUUUGUAUUUGGACUACUUGCUGUGUACCAGACUCAUAAUCUGUUUUUCCUCAGCUUCGCGAUCCCGGCACGACGUUAUCAGUCCCGCCGCAGUGUUGCUAGCCCGUUUUCUUUGUCUGCAAAGGGACUUGUCUCCUGCAGCGGGUACAUUAUUAAUGAAGCUGCUAAAGGGAAAAAAGCUGCCUGGCCGUGUAGGGCGGCGGAGGUACCUGGGGAAGGCAGACGGGGAAGUUCAGGGAGCCCCAGGCGGUUGGCACGGGGUGCAGAUGGUAGGAAGGCACAGACAAGUGACCUCCAGGUUUCCCCCAAGAUGAUUUUCUGCCCGAGGGCAGGACAAAAGGGUGCUUUCCAACAGCAACGAGAGAAUUAAAACAGAUGGGUAGGGUAGGCGAUGGGAGCUCAUGGCAGUGAAGAUUCACACUUCACAGAUAGCGAUAGUUUAGCAUUUUUAAUCUUGCUAUUCUUGCUCAAGCCCUGGAAAAUUGACAAAAAUGUAUUUUGGAAUCUCCCCUUAUUUACAAAAUGAAUAGAAAAGCGUCAGGGAAAUGCACGUAACGUUGUAUUCCUGCAUACUGGUUUAGAUGCUGUGUAGCGUUAACGUGUUUUAUUGACAUCCAGCAUUCUCUGUGAUUCACGAGUAAUGAUGAGGUAAUCUAGAGACGGGUCUCCUUCCACCCCCCCCAAAAGUGACAAAUACAACCUUUGGCAGAAUCCUCAGCUUGCUCAUUUGCCAUAAAACCCUUGAGAAAUCUCUCGUGUACAUGAGACACAGCUGCAACAAACAGCUACAUUUCUUUCUUACUUUUUUUUUGGAAAGAAUGACAGUGCUUGCUGAAUUAUUUAAUGCUAUAGGGAUCUUAUAAAUUUAUAUAUUGGUAAGCUGAUAAGAUUUGACACGUUUGAAGGUGUUCUUUUUAGUGUGAAAGCAUAUAUGAUAGCUUAUCAUGCUGUACUAGGAAUAAUAAAAAGGGGAGGGGGCUUUUUCCCCCCUCAUCACUCCUGUUAGUGCUAACACUGACUCACUAGUCUUUUUUGGCUUUUAUAUGGGGGCGAGGGGAACAGAAAAGUCAUCAGUAAGUUGUAUCUGAAGGCAUAAUCUAAGGUGUUCGAGCUGUUUUGUUUUUCUCAGCGCGCUGAUUCAGGAGGAAACAUGCCUCAGAGGGUUGGCUCAGCUCUUUCCUUUUCAGGGUAAGGUAGCCAGAGGUACCCUACUGCAGUGGGGUUUUAUUCUCAGUACUGAAGCUAAGAUUUUGUUGGCUCGAUGUGAAUAUCCAGACUGUCUUGGCAUGCUGUCCAAGGCUGCUUGAAGCCGCAGUCAGUGUCCUGACUCGUCGAUGGAGGCGUGCGCUGUCCUUUUCUCCCCCAGCCCUGGCAGCGGCUGGGCUUCAAUAGUGCCGCAGGUAUUUGCAGAUAUGCGGGUGCCUUGUUUUUUUUAUAAAGGAAGUUAUUUCUCUUUGGAAUUUGUAUACAAAUGUUUACUUGAGUUUUUUUACAAAAGAUUCUGUCAAACUGAGCGUGAGACGGUUGGAUUUGAAAUUACAGAAGAAAUACUGACUCAAGGAGAGAGUGUGUGUUCUGUGGUGCUGACUGGGGCAGAACGCCCCCAGCACCCAAAAAGGAAAGACCUAGAAGGGCAAUUUCGACCCAAUGGAUUAGUAAAACAUCUCUGUGUUUUUCACAUAAAGGACUUUCUCAAUAACGUUGUUAUUGGGAUGCUCAGUGCUGUGUAUGUGCGCAGAUGGGUUAACACAGGGAAAACCUAGUGAGCCGCAAGCAUCAGAGGCGACUUGAGUGAGGUGGAUGGAGACAUCCCAUCUUGGUGGGUUUGCUUUCCCCAUGUUGUAGCACAGGUCGCAGCAUAGAGGACGUCGCUGAGAAAUGCAAACGCCUCCUGAAGUGGACUCCUCGUUUCAAGUGUUGAUUCCCUUUGCCCUCACCACACGCGUGCUGUGUCACCUAACCGGAGGUUUUAUUUGCUUGUAAAAUAUGUCAGUUACCUAAUAAAACUGCUCUAAUGGGGUUGUACAUCAGUUACGUGAGCUCCUCUUGCUAAAGGUUAUGGAGCAGGGAAGUGUGUAUAUCCUUCGUGCCCGCCCCACAGAAGUCUUGCUGAAAAAGAUACCUGAGAGAUGUCUCGGCAACUAAUUUUUGCAGUUGUAAACAGUCUGUGUAUCACAGCUGGAUAAUUAUCUCAUGGUUAACUGCGUCUGUAGCUCUUGCUUGGUUGUACUCACAAGCCUGUGAAACGGCCAGAGAUGAGCAGUUUGUUAUGUAAACGGGUUAGGCUGUAGCUGCAGGUGGAUACUGAGCAAUAAAAGGGGAUUUAAGUUGCCAGCUUCUUCCCAGUGACCCUGUAGGGGGGCGUCUGGCGGUCUCUUUGGUGAGGGCAUUUUCUGCAUCCUCAGUGCAGGGCGGUCACUGAUGGGAAGGGACCAGCUGCCCUCUGCUGGGUGCUGCAAGAAGUAAGGAACUGCUCAUUUGCACAGCUUCACAUCGUGCUGGGAAAUUACACAGCUAGCUGUAAUCCACUUUCGCUAAGCUGUCCCAAAGCUCUCAAGUUGCUCUUCUGUGUUUCAUCAUGCUGACUUUUUGAAAAAUGCAUUCAACUCAUUGAAUGUGAUGGCAAAAAA